AGAGCCUGGGGGCUGCACGAGCCCCAGGAGGUGGACUUCCGAGUCCUGUAUCUACGGGUUCCAGACAGAGAUCGUCACAGCCCAAUUUCACCCGAGGCCGGCUUCUUUCAAGACCAAGCAGAAAAAAGAGUAGUAAUUAGUUAUAUUAUUAUCGUGUUUAUAGAGGACACAGGAAAAUAUGUAUGUCCUGUUUAGCACUUCAAAUGAAUGACGGUGUCUAUGGUAGAUAUUAAAAAAAAAAAAAAAUCUCCAUGCUAGUUAUAUUGGGGUUAAUGCGUUUUGCUGAUAAUUGUCUUACCUUGGCUUCAACUCGUCUACAUUCCUACCUUCUUUGAUCAACAUAUUCUAAGUGUCUUUGUGUACAUAAGUUCCGCCUUUUUUAUUCAAUCUAUUUUAUGCUUGGGGCAGAUUAGUAUUUCUCUAUGUAACGUAGGCAAAAUAUUUUAUAAUAUAUUAGUUAUCCAAGAGUACAUUUUCUAUGUUACGUUUUUAUAAGAAAAUUCAUAUUUAAAGGGGUAUCUACAAUAUUUAUUACUCAGAGCAUGUGCUCUGACAGUGAAAGUGACAUAGUAUCAUAAGGACAGAAAACCGGCGACUUUUCAAAAGUAGCCUUGUUGUUUCAGAGGAUUUUUUCUGAUUGGAUUUUAAUCUGCAGUUUACGGCUUUGGCAGGUAGACGAUUCAAUGGGUUUAAAACCCUAUGGGUGAAAAAAACAUUGAAUUCCGUCUGCGCACGUGUUUAACAGUACCCAUGGCAAGGGGGGUAGAAAUAGCCUAAGCUAUUAUAUCCCUUUGAGAUGUAUUUUUUGUUAUCUCAAUAAACAUACUUGAACUUGAGUACCCAUGGCUCAGUGGUAAGACACUCGCCCGGCGCUUCGCGAGCGCUUUGGCUUGGGUUCGUAUCCUGGCUGGUAAAGAUUGACCGGGCACCAAUCCUUAACUGUAGCCUCUGUUCACCCAGCAAUGAAUGGAUACCUGGUAAACUAUUUGGCGAGUCGUUUUCCGGGAUAAAUUAGGAUUAAGGACCUGCCCGAAACGCUAUGUGUGCUAGUGGCUUUACAAGAAUAUAAGAACUCUUGUAUAUAUAAAUAAGUAAAUAAAUAAAAAAUAUAUAAAUAAAAUAAAAAACCAUCACCUGUUUUCUCUCAUACAUUGUGAUUUUUUUAAGCUUAAAGCUGUUGCCUCCUUGUAUGUGUUCUAUUUUAUCUUAUAAAGAAGUAGUCAGGAUUAAUAUCCUCCAACUUGUUCAGUAUUUUAAAAGUCGUAAAGAAGCCCACGUGUUGUUUGGUCUGGUUAUGGCCCAGGGGAUACGCGCCCCUACUGUAGCCACUACAAGUAUAAUAUCCUAUGGGUGAAAUAAAAAUGUAUUAUAUACAUAUGUCCUUCAUUGUGCAUUGUUAAGCUUGUAGCUGUUGCCGGCCCCUUGUAUGAGUUACAUUGAACCUUUUUAUGUUGUCAUUGGUGUUACAUUGGACCUUUUCAAAUGUGGUUAUUGGAGUUAAAAUGAACCUUUUUAAAUGUAAAUAUUGUCUUCUAAUUUGUUCUGUUUGUGAAAUCUCGAUGAGAUCUUCCUUGUCGUGGCUGGUAUCAUUGGGCCCGAGUCUAUGCCUUAUGAAAGAUCAUUUGCAUAUAUUAGAAACAGUAUAGGUCCGAGUACCGAUCAUGUGGGACUGUUGGUUGUAUUUCGCAACACUGAGAUCUCGCCCAUCACAAGGGCACUGGUCUGCAGUUCAAUAUCUCCUGUUUAUCCCCCAGCUGUCUUUCAACUUUAUGGUAGUUCUCCAAUUUCCAGUGGCGCCAUAGAAAGUGGCAAGCAUAGUGCUUCUGCUCCCUCUUUCAGUAUCCAUGGGACGAUUCAUAUGGUCUGCCAGCCUUCACUGUGUCUAGUUCCAAAAGAUGACUCAUUACCUCAUUUAUGUAAGCUCAAAUUCCUCCACCAGAGCUGCUUGGUUAACGCCUUCUUCUUCAAUUCAGGUAUUUUCCAUUGCUCUCUUUGUGAAGAUCUAGAGUCUCUUAUUGAGUUCCUCACACACCUUGCCAUUCUGUCUAAUCUUAACCUAAGGACCCUGUCCUCCCUCCCCCUCUUAUUCUUAAUCAUCUCCAGCGCUACUUUAUAUUUGCUCAACAACUCCUCACUCCUAUCUCGGCAUUUAUUUCUCCAUCUACUGAGAGGCUGACAAUGAGCCUCUCAGUACUAUUGUCAGACAAUUGUCUGACAAUACAGGCAAGUCUAUCCACUGUCACCCUCCCUUGCACCCUGACAAUUUUCUAUAAUACUAUUUCUUAAACCACAGUAGCAGAAGGGCCUAAUCCAUAUAAUUACUCCUGUGAAUCAAUUACAAUGAAAAAAUCUCCCACUAUCUUUGCUGCGACAUUCAUCUUUACUAUUUUCUGUCCCCCGGGCAAAUUCACUAAAUUUGUCUCUCUCAUAUUUACUUACGAUUUCCUACUUGGAGAUCGAAUUAUCACCUCCACGCUGCCUGCUUCCUUCAGGAGGCCUGGUCGACGACUAGGCCGCGGGGACGCUGAGCCCCGGAAGCACCUCAAGGUAACCACCUCAAGGUCCACUAAGCCUCUAACGCAGCAUAGGAAUUUCAAAUCUCAAUAAAAGGAUUGACAAAUUUCUUCACUGUAAACUUCAAGUUUUUAUUUUUGACGAUUUUCCACUCGCCGACGUCUUCCUGGGUCACGCUGAUGUUGUCCACCUCUGGCGCCACACCUUGGAUAAGGAAGCUAAUUUCCAUUCUUAAGAGUGCUCAAGAGAGAGCUUAAGAGAGCUUCCUUAAGCUCUGUGCUUGAACAACGGAACAUCUCAUCACCUCACAGGGCUUUAUUUAUUAUUAUUAAUACAUGAGGUACAUCUGCAUUAGUGCAGCUACUCUAGACUAUAUGAAGUGGAGUACAGUGUGUCAAAAAAGCUAACUAGGUGAUGCUAACAAAAAAUCCCAUCACACAGGAUCGCAAGGCACAACACUCCAUUUAUAGCACUAAGCAAAUAUCCCAAAAACAGAAGCUUCAGCAAGUAUAUCCGCGCUGGAAGGCUGCGUAAGUAUCCACUUAGAGAAAAACUAAAAUAAUCCGAGCACUAUGGUGUAGAAACACAUUUUGAUGGGUUACUCAGGUGAGGGCGCGAACCACUAACCACAGAGAGCUGCUCUAAGUUAAAACUAAGUUCGCGUCGACAGAAGGAAUUCAGUUUACGCGAAGCCCUCUAUCUUUACGCGAUAGAGUUUGCCCUCUAAUGUGUGUGUGAAAAUCGUAAACACACCGUGCUUCGCCAAAAUACAUUUUUCUAGCAAUGCAAUUAAGAUAAAUACAGUUCAUGUAUAAUUUUAUCGCUCACGCAGAAGCCAAACGUUAUCUCUUAACGACAGUAGCGACUCCUGCGCAUUAACCAUGCGCAGGAGUGGAUAUGCGAGUGGUGUGUUGAUGACCAUGUCAGUAGCGUCGUGGCUCUCACCAGGGUAACACCAGACUUCCUCUACUCUCAUGACCCAAGUACAUUAUCGCUUGAGGUAGGCAAUCAUUACCUGAACGGAGCCUCGCGCCGGCCCGCGGGUAACAGCAAGGCGGCCGUUGGUACCAUUACAUUUUGCUACAGUAAAGAUGGUGCAGCAGCAUCAAGGGAGGCUUUUGGUGGGUGUGGUGGUGGUGGUGGUGUUGACAGCCGUGGUUGACCCGUUCACCACCACCACCUUCACCCUGCUGGGGACUGACGUGCAGCUGCCCGCCGCCAACAUCUCUGUCGUCCACUAUGUCACCUCCGUCGUCCAGAUUUCCAGGACUUCGGCGACAUCCAGACUUCCUCAGGAGUCUUCAUUUCAACAAUUCUUCCAGGCCGGCUAAAGCGGCAAAGUCAGCACUCGGGACUCUGCUUUAACAUGUUCCAGACGUCGAGCAUCGCUCAUAAUUCCACUUGCAUAUGAGUAUCCAAGGCUUCGAGGAGCGUUCUGUCCAAAAGUAGAGGCUUUACUUUAAUAUGAGCUAGUGUUCCAGGCCUCCAACAGCGGCAGUUCUAUCCAGAUAGUUCUUCCACACGAGUACUCGAGGUCUCCAGCAGCACCAAGACCAUUGCUGGAGUGUCGACGUGAACAUCAGGUCUCCAGCAGCACCAAGACCAUUGCUGGAGUGUCGACGUGAACAUCAGGUCUCCAGCAGCACCAAGACCAUUGCUGGAGUGUCGACGUGAACAUCAGGUCUCCAGCAGCACCAAGACCAUCGCUGGAGUGUCGACGUGAACAUCAGGUCUCCAGCAGCACCAAGACCAUCGCUGGAGUGUCGACGUGAACAUCAGGUCUCCAGCAGCACUAAGACCAUCGCUGGAGUGUCGACGUGAACAUCAGGUCUCCAGCAGCACUAAGACCAUUGUUCCUGAUUUUACUUUAGCAUAAGUAUUUCCAAGAUCGACCAGACCAGACCUAAAGUCGACUUUAACAUGUUUCAGACCUGUCGAGACAUCCAGACCAAUGUACUGGAUAGUUCGUCGUCAUCACCAGAACCUAACACACAAAUGCCUCCUCAACUAAAUAAACUUAUCGCUGACCACUCCUACUUCCGGAAUUAUAAACUUAUUUGUCACGAAAUACAAUUUAAGAAUGACCAACAUCACUAAAGCUAUCAUAUAUUUACGACAAACACUGACUAAAUUGGGAUAAAUCUAAUUUAAGAAUGAGUGAUAUAUAUAUAAUGGUGUAGCGGGACUUGAGGAUGAUAAUGUAGUGGAUCUACACGAUAGGAUAACACCACAAGUCCGCAGAUAAAGCAGAUACACCACCACUUACCGACAUGAGUCCAAUGAAGUGGGAUCUGAUGUGUGAGCUGGUUGUUCAUUGUCAUAGGAGUCUGUGAUAGCCCCAAAAUAACAUUGUCACAGUCCCGCUCCUGUGCCAGGUAAGUCCACUACGGGCUCACCAUAGCCCGUGCUACUUGGAACAUUUUGUUCCCAAUGGCCGAAUCUAAAACAACCCAAAAUCAUUAACUCGUACUUUUGAAUAAAAUAUUAUCAGUAUUUAUUGCUUAUUCCCUUUUACUAAUUACUGUUAAUUUAAAUUUGCACAUUUUCACGUUACUUUUGAGUUACUAUUACAAACACUAUGAACAUAUUUUGUCAUUUUUUUAGUAUAAUUAUUUUAUAUAAGUUGCUAGUGAAAAAGCAAAUAAUAUUUUGCUUUAUAAUACAUUCACACAUGAAAAUAAGGUUUCAAUAAAAAUAACAAUUAUUGUGAUAAUCUGCUAAUUUAAUGUGAGACUUUGGCUUGGUAUUUUAUCACAGCAUUCGUGGUGGCAUCUGUGACAGGCGCACAUCAAGUUCUUCUUCCACAGAUUUUAGAUUUAGAUUUAGAGAAGAUGAGUUACAAACAUAAUGUUGGUUUGAAAGAUAGAGCUAGUACAUACAAUACCUAAAGCCUAGCGAUUCGGGCAACAUCAACAACGUUUAAUAGAUGGCAAUCUAUUCCUAUAUUUGGAGUUUAUAUUCGUUAAACACGAAAGUGGUUGGACACACACAAGUAUCACCUUGAGAAUUGUGACAAUAUGUGCAUAGCUUUCUGGCCGAGCAGUAAACGCUCUCAUCACUGUAGCCUAAAUAGAACUAAUAGCAACUAUCGAGCGAAUAUCUAUCUACUCAGACUUUCAAUAUGCGUCGUUCACGUUCACGAUAUUGAGAGAUCACGUUAAACUUGAAUCAUUUAAAGAGUUUUAGUCAAGUACAGAAAAAGGUGACAACUUGAAUUUUUUUAUUUGUGCAAAUUCUUGCGGACAUUCUGACACGGGGUCGUAGAAAACUAAUGGUCCACGGAACCCUGAAUGAGAACUAUUGGUCUACCGUGUAUACUGUGGUCUACGGUGUAUACUAGAGUCUAUGGUGUUUGCUCGGUGCUCACACGAUAUAAAUAUAUUAAAAUCAGAUUUUCCAUUUAUUGGACGUAACUCGAGCUAAUUUAGUUGCACACAAUUGGUCCUGUCAUUGCAUACUUACUGACCAUAGUUUUGGACAUGUUGGUAACCAUGAACUGGGUUCCGGUUAAGCCAUACUUAAGCUUUUCGUACAUACAACUCGUUUUAUAAAUGUUUUAAUUGUAUUUAUUGCUAGGCUAGGCCCAGUUGCGUGAUUGGGUAUGCGAUGAGUUAGGUUAGGUUAAGUUGGGUUUUGUUAUGCAAUGUUAGAUUAUUUGGUUAGUUUCAGAUGGGUUUGGCUGUGUUAAGUUGGGUUAGGUUAGUUAUGGGUUGAGUUGGAUCAAGUUAAGUUGUAUUGGUUUCAUUGUGUUAAGAUAUAUGACUAGGUUAGGUUGGGUUAGAUUGACUUAGGAUCGAUUGAGGUAGUUUUGAUUUGGUUAGGUAUGGGUUAUCGGAAAACCAACACCUUUUACCAACUUUUAAUACAAUAGACAGAUAACAUUGCUCCUAAUUUACUACAAACAAAUGAACUCAUAGAAAAUGUGGCGCCACUGGAAUUUUCCUCUGAAGAAAACGGGGAUAUCAUUGCCAUAUGUCACUUAAAACAAUACAAAUCUCGCUGGGGCAAAUCUAGCUCCAUUAAUUUUCCUUGGACACAAGUGUCAUGGGGUUCAAAGCUCCCAUUAUCAACAUGAUUUACGUCUACUAUAGGGGAAGUGUUCUAGCCGAAACCCGUUAUAAAUCUUAUGCAUUCCUGACCAGUAGUGU